rnacentral:rRNA from 1 species
AUGAGAGGAGAAAUUAAAGGACUGAAAACAUUAAUCAUGAAAGAGUCACCUUCUGCCUAUUACAUUCAUUGUUUUGCACAUCAACUCCAACUAGUUCUUGUUGCUGUUGCCAAGGGAAAUGAUGACUGUGUAUGGUUUUUUGAUCGAGUGUCUUUAUUGUUGAACAUUAUUGGAGUUUCUUGUAAGCGUCAUGACAUGCUUAGAUAUGCUAGACUUCAUAAUAUCAUGAAACUACUUGAAUGUGGUAAGUUACAAACUGGGAGUGGUCUGAAUCAAGAGAUGGGGUUACCUAGGCCUGGUGAUACUAGGUGGGGCUCUCAUUACAAAAUUGUUCUCAACAUUAUUGCUAUGUAUCCCACAAUUCGUGAUGUAAUCAUCAUUCUUGGACAAGAUGCUUCACAAAGGAGUGAUUGUCCAAAAUCCAUACCAUUGUUGGAGUGUUCGAGUCAUUUGACUUUAUUUUCAAUGCCCACUUGA